AUGUGGGGGAUAACGUACCGAAAGUUACGCUAAUACCGCAUACGAUCUACGGAUGAAAGUGGGGGACCUUCGGGCCUCAUGCUUUUGGAGCGGCCGAUGUCUGAUUAGCUAGUUGGUGAGGUAAAGGCUCACCAAGGCGACGAUCAGUAGCUGGUCUGAGAGGACGACCAGCCACACUGGGACUGAGACACGGCCCAGACUCCUACGGGAGGCAGCAGUGGGGAAUUUUGGACAAUGGGCGCAAGCCUGAUCCAGCAAUGCCGCGUGAGUGAAGAAGGCCUUCGGGUUGUAAAGCUCUUUUGUCAGGGAAGAAACGGGAUUGGAUAAUACCUAGUCCUAAUGACGGUACCUGAAGAAUAAGCACCGGCUAACUACGUGCCAGCAGCCGCGGUAAUACGUAGGGUGCAAGCGUUAAUCGGAAUUACUGGGCGUAAAGCGUGCGCAGGCGGUUUUGUAAGUCUGACGUGAAAGCCCCGGGCUCAACCUGGGAAUUGCGUUGGAGACUGCAAGGCUUGAAUCUGGCAGAGGGGGGUAGAAUUCCACGUGUAGCAGUGAAAUGCGUAGAGAUGCGGAGGAACACCGAUGGCGAAGGCAGCCCCCUGGGUCAAGAUUGACGCUCAUGCACGAAAGCGUGGGGAGCAAACAGGAU
rnacentral:rRNA from 1 species